rnacentral:misc_RNA from 1 species
AAACUUCCUGUGAUGUUUCGAUGUUGACCAAUCAGACCAUGAACAUGAUGAAGAUUUUCGCUUUGUAGUAGGAUACUCCUGGUUUGAGAAAAACAAAAAUUUAAGAUGACAGACAAAGCAACUCCCAAUCCUUUGGAACAGUUCGUUCUCUUGGCCAAAACUGCCAAGGGUGCCGGAGCUGUAGAGCUUAUUAAGCAAGCCCUGGAUGCACAGGGAGUUUACGUCUUUGGAGAGCUUUUGGAUAUGCCACAUAUUCAGGAGCUUGCAUCUGGUGCACAUUCACAAUACUUCAACCUCCUCAACAUAUUUGCUUAUGGAUGUUACAAAGAUUACAAAGCGGCUUCCUCCAGCCUUCCAUCAUUAAGUCCAGCACAGUUAGAUAAACUAAGGCACCUGACUAUUGUUUCCUUAGCAACAAAAAACAAGUGCAUUCCCUAUUCUGUUUUAUUAGAAGAACUGGAUAUGCAGAAUUUACGAACACUGGAAGAUUUAAUUAUUGAAGUUAUCUAUGCUGAUAUUGUUCAUGGGAAGUUAGAUCAAAAGAACCAACAACUGGAGGUGGAUUAUGCUUUAGGUCGAGACAUUCGACCCGAAGCUGUCCCAGAAAUUGUAUCUGUCCUUCAAGACUGGUGCACAGGCUGUGAGGCAAUGUUGCAGAGUAUAGAAACCCAGAUCUCUAAGGCUAACCAAAAUAAGGAGAACAACAUACGAAUCAAACAUCAGAUUGAACAGGAAGUAAGAUCAAGCAAUGGUUAUUCUGGUAAACAUUAAACAGAGUGUUCCAAUCAGUUCAAUGUUGUUAAAGCAUUUUAAGCUUACCUGUGCUCAAGUGAGAUUUUCAGAUCACUUUUUGUGCUGCAAACAUUUGUCAUGUUUCAUGGGAAGUCUUCUCAAAAAGCAUUGGGCCAGAAAAGCUAAAACCUUAUAUGAAAUAUUGUAUCAUACGAUACAACAUUGUAAUGUACAGUUGUGUAUUGUUAUACAUUUUAUAAUGUAAUACAUUAUGACAUUUACAUGAAAUGUGAUAAAAUUUUGUAUCAUAUGAUAUUAUAUGAUAUUGUGUCAAACCACACUACAAUAUCCAAUAUUGUAAUAAGAAUCAUUAACUAUGAUUUUUAUAUUUCUUGUUGAGCUCUAUAAUCUUUGACUACCUAUGUUUACAUAGGAAGAGGGGAAAGUCUUUUCUCAAAAAAAGAACCAAAAUGGCUCAAUGUUUAACAUAAGAAUACCUGGAGAAUCAGUUACUUAAUUGUUAAGAUAUUUUGUAUUUGAUACCAUAGAGCUGAUUUGAUCAGAGUUGUGCUAUUGUUGCAUAGGUGAGUGAUAUGGCCCCUGGGCCUCUUGUUUGAUAUUACUGUAUACAGCCUUGUUGUUUAUGAAAUAGGUUGUCAAUAUCAAGAAAACAUUGAAGAACACACAGCAACAGGAUUCAGAAGAACAGAUGGUCACUGAUAGUCAAGUGUCUAUGUCCUGUGAUAAACCAAGCAAGAAAUCCUCCAAAACAAAGGGAUUAAGAGGAAGCGGUAGUGCUAAGCUCUGGAAAUAACACAGAUCGAAUGAGUGACAACUAUGGACUUGUGUUUUACAUAAUAUAUUGUGACAUCUUGUUCCACAGCAAGGAGGAAAUUAGAAAUUUUUUUUUACAGAUAAUAUGGACCAUUAUAGCCAUCAUGUUUACUCCUGUGUAUUAUUGCUCCAUACUAUGAACUUAUCUGCCAUCAGGUUUUGGAACAGUUGAUAAUUUUUGCUAUUUGAUACAGUGUUUGCCAUCAGGACUUGCAUUAAAAGUCAUUAUUUUCUGUU